GCCAUCCUUGAGAAGAGCGGUUCUGGCAUUCAGUUGUCGGGGUCGGGAUUCUCGACGUUUACUGUGAAAAAAUCAGAGUGUUCAACGCAGGCUUACGCCUUGAAUACAUUACCAUGGAAUAAUGAGAUAGGACCUUGGCGGUCUAUUUUGUUGGUUUGCACGCCGAGGUAAUGAUUAAAAGGGACGGUUGGGGUUCUUCGUAUUCAAUUGUCAGAGGUGAAAUUCUUGGAUUUAUGGAAGACGAACUGCUGCGAAAGCGUCGAACAAGGACGUUCUCAUUAAUCAAGAACGAAAGUUAGGGGAUCCAAUAUGAUUAGAUACCAUCGUAGUCUUAACCAUAAACUAUGCCGAUUCUGGAUUGGCGGUCGUUUGUUCUCGACUCC
rnacentral:rRNA from 1 species